GCUUACGGCCACACCACCCUGAGCGCGCCCGAUCUCGUCUGAUCUCGGAAGCUAAGCAGGGUCGGGCCUGGUUAGUACUUGGAUGGGGACCGCCUGGGAAUACCAGGUGCCGUAAGCU
rnacentral:rRNA from 1 species